UCCUAGCCCUGAUGGGAGUGGAAAUCCUCUGGCUCGGGUGGCUAUUUUGGGCAGGGCGGAAAGAGCGACUAAAAGAAGCUCCUUUGCGGCCUAGCCCAAAAAGCCACGCGAGGCGGAGAUUAUAACGGACAGCAGGAUUAGCU
rnacentral:sRNA from 1 species